CUCCUGUCGUGCUGCGUUGAGCGUUGUUUGAUGAGACUUCAGCAGCCACCUGGUGGCUCUGUUCCUCUGGGAAAUGUAGAAAAAAAAAAAAAAACCCACUCACAUAUUAAUGCCGUGUCAUGUGGGUGGAAAAACUGUGUCAGGUGGAACAACAUCCUCUCCCCUUAGCCGACUUCUACACUUGCUAUGCAGUUUUCCGACAGUGAGCAUUGGAGGGGUUUUUCUACCCAUCUUCCUUACCAACCUGGUGGCAAAAUGAAGUCGGCAUCCAGCCUGCAGAUCAGUGAUUGGCGAGGAGGCGAUGCUUUCAGGUGUGUUGGAUUUCUAACCUGCUCCAGAUCAGCUUAUUGUCCCAGCAUCAGUUACCAGAGGCUGACAGACCCAGGUAAGAAGAACCAGAACCGGUGACGUGAAACCAAAUAUCCUGAA